CAUGUCCCAGUCAUUCCCCUCUCCUCCCCACAGGUCAGGAAUCUCUGGACUCAUAAGUGUGUGCAAGUCAGUAGAGAGUAUCAGAUCUCCUGGAGCUGGGAUUACAGGCUGUUGUGAGCCCUCUGUGUGGGUGCUAGGGAGUGAAGUCCUCCAGAUCUCUAAAGAGGAGCAAAUGCUUUUAGCUGCUCAUCCAUCUCUCCUGGCCUUAGAUACAAUGUCUCAAUCAAGUGCCACUGUGUCCCAGUUCUAGGAUGUUUGUGGGCAGAAAAUCACUCAAAAGCAGAAGAGACUGCGCAAGUGGGAGGAGACAGCAAGCUGAAGGAAUUGAAAUGAACACUUAAACAAAGCCAUAGGCCAGAGCUAUAGACACAAUCAAAGUCCAUGUAAUUGCUGCUGCAGAAUCUGUGGAAACUGCUGCGAGGUCUCCAACCCCAAAACUCCUGGACCACUUCUCUGCUAAAUGAGGAGCAAGACUCAGUGGAUCACAGAAUAUCAAGGCUUGGAAGGAGCCUGGCUUGUUGUGGACGGCUCAUCUGGCUUCGUCACUAGUAGUCUUCUGGUCUUCAAUGAUGAACCUACCUUCGUGCAUGAUGAUUUCUUUGAAUGCUAGUGAAAUCAGUGAAGAUGGAUUCCAUAUCAAGGAGUUAAAGAAAAGUAUUAGAUGACGGAAAGUAAUAACCCUCUUUUGUUUUAAUUUUCUAACCCAAGUUGAAGAUGCAGAUGCUCCUUGACUCAUGGCGUGUUAUAUUUAAAUGAACCUAUUGUAAGUUGAAAUAUUUAGUGCAGCUACCUUUUGUUAAAAGCCUAGUUUUGCAACACA